rnacentral:rRNA from 1 species
GAUGAACGCUCACAGAAUGCUUAACACAUGCAAGUCCACUUGAACUUCGGUUUGGGUGGCGGACGGGUGAGUAACGCGUAAAGAACUUGCCUCACAGAUAGGGACAACAUUUGGAAACGAAUGCUAAUACCUGAUAUUAUGAUUAUAUGGCAUCGUAUAAUUAUGAAAGCUAUAUGCGCUGUGAGAGAGCUUUGCGUCCCAUUAGCUAGUUGGAGAGGUAACGGCUCACCAAGGCGAUGAUGGGUAGCCGGCCUGAGAGGGUGAUCGGCCACAAGGGGACUGAGACACGGCCCUUACUCCUACGGGAGGCAGCAGUGGGGAAUAUUGGACAAUGGACCAAGAGUCUGAUCCAGCAAUUCUGUGUGCACGAUGAAGUUUUUCGGAAUGUAAAGUGCUUUCAGUUGGGAAGAAAAAAAUGACGGUACCAACAGAAGAAGUGACGGCUAAAUACGUG